AUGAACUACAGGGCACACCUCGCCCACCGCUCCCAGGUGCUCAGCUGCCUGCGCGAUCUUGCCGUCGCCAAGGCCAAGCUCAAGGAGCUUCGGUCCCUCUUCUACAACCUCUCCUACAGGCGCCGCCUCUCGCACGACCACGAGGAGCGCCAGAGGUUCUCCGAGAAGAUCAUUGUCCUGCUCCUCACUGUCAACGCGCUCGAGUCCAUGUGCGAGAAGAACGGCCAGACCCCUCCGCCGAUGCCAGUCAUUGCUUCGGCAGACACGCGUAACUCCCGACAAGCAUCGACUGAUCCUUCUCCGUCUGCCACUGGCGCGACCGGUCCUACACCUACACCUACACCUCCGUGA
rnacentral:rRNA from 1 species